rnacentral:rRNA from 1 species
GUGAACGCUGGCGGUAGGCCUAACACAUGCAAGUCGAACGGCAGCACAGUAAGAGCUUGCUCUUACGGGUGGCGAGUGGCGGACGGGUGAGGAAUACAUCGGAAUCUACUUUUUCGUGGGGGAUAACGUAGGGAAACUUACGCUAAUACCGCAUACGACCUACGGGUGAAAGCAGGGGAUCUUCGGACCUUGCGCGAUUGAAUGAGCCGAUGUCGGAUUAGCUAGUUGGCGGGGUAAAGGCCCACCAAGGCGACGAUCCGUAGCUGGUCUGAGAGGAUGAUCAGCCACACUGGAACUGAGACACGGUCCAGGCUCCUACGGGAGGCAGCAGUGGGGAAUAUUGGACAAUGGGCGCAAGCCUGAUCCAGCCAUACCGCGUGGGUGAAGAAGGCCUUCGGGUUGUAAAGCCCUUUUGUUGGGAAAGAAAAGCAGCAGGUUAAUACCCCGCUGUUCUGACGGUACCCAAAGAAUAAGCACCGGCUAACUUCGUG